GAUGAACGCUGACGGCGUGCCUAAUACAUGCAAGUCGAGCGAACGGACGAGAAUCUUGCUUCACUGAUGUUAGCGGCGGACGGGUGAGUAACACGUGGAUAACCUAUCUAUAAGACUUGGAUAACUUCGGGUAACCGGAGCUAAUACCGGAUAAUCUUUUGAACCGCAUGGGUCAAAAGUGAAUGACGGUCUUGGUGUCACCUCUAGAUGGAUCCGCGCUGCAUUAGCUAGUUGGUAUGGUAACGGCUUACCAAGGCAACGAUGCAUAGCCGACCUGAGAGGGUGUAGGCGGACACUGGAGGUGAGACGCGGCCCAGACACCUACGGGAGGCAGAGGCAGGGAAGCGUCCGAGAUGGGCGAAAGCCUGCCGGAGCAGCGGCGCGUGGGUGAUGAAGGGCUUCGGAUCGUAUAACGCUGUUAGUGGGGAAGAACAUAUGUGUAAAUAACUGUGCACAUCUUGACGGUAGCUAAUCAGGAAGCCACGGCUAACUACGUG
rnacentral:rRNA from 1 species